GAGUUCCGAGCGACCGAUGGAGAUGGCGGCUGCGGCUGAGUGACGGACGGUGGAGGCCCAGAGCCCGGGCCUGAAGGGGGGGACAAACCUGGGUGCCCGCAGGAGCCCGGCAGGGUGUCUUACAAGUAUCAAGAACUUACUAUAUGUGGUUGAAUAAACAAUCAAGGUAAAGAGCAUCAAGUAAAAACUUCUGCUUGUUGAUAAGUACUUCAGACAUUCCCCCAGUGGCUGAAGUGGCAUAUGAAUUAUGAAGCUGGAUCAUUUGGAAUGAAUGUAAGAGAAUUGCCAAGGGCUCCUCCUACUCCAGAGAGGAAACCUCAUCCAGGGCCAUGAAGCCACUUCCUCACCAUCUGUGUGCUGCUUAAGCUAAUGCUGCGGGAACCAUGGUUCCUUGGGAGGAAUCAAGCUGACUCUUGGCAUGAGAUUCCUGCCUUCCUAGUGUUGAGAGCGGCACUGCCAUGGCUUCUCUGGACGACCCAGGGGAAGUGAGGGAGGGCUUCCUCUGCCCUCUGUGCCUGAAGGAUCUGCAGUCUUUCUAUCAGCUUCACUCACAUUACGAGGAAGAACACUCGGGGGAAGACCGUGAUGUCAAAGGGCAAAUUAAAAGUCUUGUCCAGAAGGCUAAGAAAGCAAAGGACAGGUUGUUGAAACGAGAAGGGGAUGAUCGAGCAGAGUCAGGGACCCAAGGAUAUGAGUCUUUCAGCUAUGGAGGGGUUGAUCCUUACAUGUGGGAACCCCAGGAGCUUGGUGCUGUGAGAAGCCAUCUUUCCGACUUCAAAAAACACCGAGCUGCUAGAAUUGACCACUAUGUUGUGGAAGUCAAUAAACUAAUAAUCAGGUUAGAAAAGCUCACUGCAUUUGACAGAACAAAUACUGAGUCUGCAAAGAUUCGAGCAAUAGAAAAGUCUGUGGUGCCUUGGGUCAACGACCAGGAUGUCCCUUUCUGUCCAGACUGUGGGAAUAAGUUCAGCAUCCGGAACCGCCGCCACCACUGCCGCCUCUGCGGGUCUAUUAUGUGCAAGAAGUGUAUGGAGCUCAUCAGCCUUCCCUUGGCAAAAAUUACGACUUUGCAUGGAGAAAGUUGACCAGAAAGCUCCAGAAUACAUCAGGAUGGCAGCAUCAUUAAAUGCUG
rnacentral:sRNA from 1 species